rnacentral:tRNA from 1 species
GGAGAUAGAGCUCAGUGGUAGAGCACUUGCCUAGCAUGCAUGAGGCCCUGGGUUCAAUCCCCACUACCACAA